AGAACCGAUAAAUGCAAUUAGUUGGGAUGCAGCCCACUACUCUCACCACUACACCUUCAUUCACGGAAGUAACAGAGAAGUGACCCAUUAUUUACACCACCACCGUUUCACAUUAUAUAUGUAUAGGAGCCUUAGUAGGAAAACCCAGUUCUUUUGCUCUGAAGUGCUGCAGAACAGAGGUAAUUCUAGUGCAAUCGAUCAACUUCUUAUUUUCCUCAAAAUUCCCAAUUGAUUUUCUCUACCUGUCAUCUUUGAUUCCGAAAAUUCAAGUAGUAGCCAUCAGUUCAAUUUCCCUUCAGCGCUUCGUUGUCAUUCCUGUGAGUCUACUUUUGAGUUUUCUGCUCUAUUGGAUUGUGGGUUUUCACCUUGAGAUCAUCCUCAGGAUGAGACUGAGGAGUAAUGUCAAGGUGAUUCCACUAGGAUGGAGUGGAGAACUAUUAUUCCACUUAUGUCAUUAUGUUUUGCUGGAGACUUUUGUCGGAUCGUGACUUUCAUCUAUUUGGGUUGUUAGGCUCUGAUAUUGUGACAUCGGGGUCGGAUUUAAUAAAGUAGUUGUGAAUUUAUUUUGUGAUUUAUUUCAUUUUGAAAACUAUCCGUUAUAUUAGUUUUAUUAUGAAGAAGUUUGUAAGUCUCAAAUAGCCAAAGAUAUUUCUCUUUCAAUUUAUGAUGUUGGAUUUUAAUA